rnacentral:rRNA from 1 species
GAUCCCUAGCUGGUCUGAGAGGAUGAUCAGCCACACUGGAACUGAGACACGGUCCAGACUCCUACGGGAGGCAGCAGUGGGGAAUAUUGCACAAUGGGCGCAAGCCUGAUGCAGCCAUGCCGCGUGUGUGAAGAAGGCCUUCGGGUUGUAAAGCACUUUCAGUCGUGAGGAAGGCGGUGUAGUUAAUAGCUGCAUCGUUUGACGUUAGCGACAGAAGAAGCACCGGCUAACUCCGUGCCAGCAGCCGCGGUAAUACGGAGGGUGCGAGCGUUAAUCGGAAUUACUGGGCGUAAAGCGCAUGCAGGUGGUUUGUUAAGUCAGAUGUGAAAGCCCGGGGCUCAACCUCGGAAUUGCAUUUGAAACUGGCAGACUAGAGUACUGUAGAGGGGGGUAGAAUUUCAGGUGUAGCGGUGAAAUGCGUAGAGAUCUGAAGGAAUACCGGUGGCGAAGGCGGCCCCCUGGACAGAUACUGACACUCAGAUGCGAAAGCGUGGGGAGCAAACAGGAUUAGAUACCCUGGUAGUCCACGCCGUAAACGAUGUCUACUUGGAGGUUGUGGCCUUGAGCCGUGGCUUUCGGAGCUAACGCGUUAAGUAGACCGCCUGGGGAGUACGGUCGCAAGAUUAAAACUCAAAUGAAUUGACGGGGGCCCGCACAAGCGGUGGAGCAUGUGGUUUAAUUCGAUGCAACGCGAAGAACCUUACCUACUCUUGACAUCCAGAGAACUUUCCAGAGAUGGAUUGGUGCCUUCGGGAACUCUGANAACAGGUGCUGCAUGGCUGUCGUCAGCUCGGGUUGUGAAAUGUUGGGUUAAGUCCCGCAACGAGCGCAACCCUU